rnacentral:sRNA from 1 species
CCCACACCCUCCUGUAUGGCACGAACCCCCUCAACCGGCAGAAACUGGACAGCUCGCUCGCCUCCGUGUUCGUCCGGCUCCCCUGCGGUGGUGUUGGGUAGAGACGGGGUUUCACCGUGUUAGCCAGGAUGGUCUCGAUCUCCUGACCUUGUGAUCCGCCCACCUCAGCCUCCCAAAGUGCUGGGAUUACAGGCGUGAGCCACUGCGCCCGGCCCACAUCUGGCUAAUUUUUUGAAAAGAAAACCAUCACCGAAUACACUUCAGGAAAUGUCUUCAGCCCCUUGAAAAUGCAUUUUAACUCACCUUGCUUUGAUGGUGAAGCUUCAAGACCGCCUGGAAAGAAAUCCUCCCUCCCCACAUAAUGAGCGGUGUCUAUCAAGUGGCAAGUCUGCCUGGUGGUGGACAGGAGCCCUCGAGGGCCCGGUCUGGGGAAGGGAGAGGCAGGGUGGACACGCCUGGCUCCUGCUUAGGAGCCCCAAAGCACUCGGCGCUCAGAGGGGCUCAGUUUGAGAAGGAGGCGUCCUGCAAUGGACCUGCAAUCGCCCUGGUCAGCACCGUGUGGAAGCUGAGCAACCUAUGACGCAGCUUCUAAGACCUCCUCCGGGCUGGGCACCCCCAAGUCCCCGGUGUGUUACCCCGCAGCAGCUUGCAGGCAAGGGACACACUUGGGGACAGAUCCUCAGGUGCCCUGGGGCCAGCUCAAGGGCUGUGUAUUUCAUCUUAACGCCUCCCUCCCCUGGCCAGACUCCCAUAGGAGACUGCUCUGUGCAGAACUGGCUGUCCAGGUCUCUGUCUGUCGACUUUCCUCCUGAAUUGAGCCAGGGCUGUAAGAAAUUUCUGGUGUGCCUA